GGGAAGUACUAUGCCUUGGCUCCCACGUGGUCGCAACCAUUGCUUUGUAUCCGUCGAUGGACUUCCCUGCUGUACCACAUCACUGGGGUGCAUCGAUGGGAAGAAGGGAGCAGUGAGCACACCUGUCUCCACCCCCCCUUGUCUGAUGAGGAGCAAGAGAGAGGGAGGCAACAGGCCACAACUAAAGCAGGUGAACUCUGUUGGUCCUUCCCAUAUUCCAGGCAGUCAGGGGAUUGAGUGUCAAAGCCCAUCUACCAGAAGACGACACAGACCUUCAGAAGGACCCUAAUUGA